rnacentral:lncRNA from 1 species
ACGUCUUGGCGAGAGAGUAUUCUUUGAUGUUUUUUUUGUACCUUUCGUUGUUGUUUUUGUUUUGGGCUUUACAAGCCUUGUACUUUGUACAGAUGUACAGUCACCCUUUGUAGUUAUCUUUGUUCAUAGUAAUGAAAAAAGAAAAAAAAAACAGGUAGAGAACUUCCCUGCCGUUUCCUAAAAAAAAAAGAAGUCUGCAACCUGAGGCGUAUGUUCCCAUUGCACUAGUAGAAAGAGGGUCAUUGCUGGCGUCCCCUUUUUAUAUCACAGGCGGUUCCAGUUACGACGCGCCUGUGGUAUAAAUCUGGCGGUGUCAGAGAUUUUCGGCCGCCUGUGGAGAGGUUUAUCACAGGCGGUUGACUUAAGUCACCGCCUGUGUUAUCUUUGUAUAAAUACCCCUUCUUCCUCCCCGACCAGAACGCAGUAUCUCGCACCCACCUUCCAUUGGGGGCGAUUUUGGAGUUCCAGAUUUCUCAAAAUACAAGGGGGGAGGUUUUGAUCUUCAUUUCUAGGAAGGAGGUUGCUAAAAGAGGU